rnacentral:rRNA from 1 species
UACGUAGGGGGGCGAGCGUUGUCCGGAGUACUGGGCGUAAAGCGCACGCAGGCGGUCUGCGAAGUUUGGAGUGACAGUUGGUGGCUCAACCACCAAAGUGCUUUGAAAACUGACAGACUUGAGGGCUUCAGAGGGACACGGAAUCCGGGUGGAGUGGUGAAAUGCGUAGAGAUCCGGAGGAAGACACCAAGGCGGAAGGCAGGUGUCCUGGGGACGUAC